GAAUGAACGCUAGCGACAAGCUUAACACAUGCAAGUUUAAUUGGUUUAGUAAUAAAUCGAUGGCAAACGGGUGAGUAAUGCGUAGGAAUCUACCUAAGAUUAAGGAAUAUGUACUAGAAAUGGUAAGCAAUACCUUAUAAUUCCUGAGGGAAAAAGAUUUAUCGAUCUUAGAUGAGCCUGCGUGGGAUUAGUUAGUUGGUGAGGUAAUGGCUCACCAAGACUGUGAUCCCUAGCCGACCUGAGAGGGUGAUCGGCCACACUGGGACUGAGACACGGCCCAGACUCCUACGGGAGGCAGCAGUGGGGAAUAUUGGACAAUGGGCGAAAGCCUGAUCCAGCUAUGUCGCGUGAACGAUGAAGGUCUUCGGAUUGUAAAGUUCUUUUAGUAGGGAUGAUAAUGACAGUACCUACAGAAAAAGCCCCGGCUAACUUCGUGCCAGCAGCCGCGGUAAUACGAAGGGGGCUAGCGUUAUUCGGAAUGAUUGGGCGUAAAGGACACGUAGGCGGUUUUGUAAGUUUUGUGUGAAAUCCCUGGGCUUAACCCAGGAAUUGCGCGAAAUACUGCAUGACUUGAGUAUGGGGGAGGAUAGUGGAAUCUUUGGUGUAGAGGUGAAAUUCUUAGAUAUCAGAGAGAACGUCGGAGGCGAAAGCGUCUAUCUAAAACAUUACUGACGCUGAGGUGUGAAGGCGUGGGGAGCAAAUCGGAUUAGAUACCCGAGUAGUCCACGCAGUAAACGAUGAGUACUAGGGGGUGGUUUUAAUCACCCUUGCAGCUAACGCAUUAAGUACUCCGCCUGAGGAUUACGGUCGCAAGAUUAAAACUCAAGGGAAUUGACGGGGACCCGCACAAGCGGUGGAGCAUGUUGUUUAAUUCGAUGCUACGCGAAAAACCUUACCACCUUUUGACAUGUAUGCAAAAACUUCGUGAAAAUGGAGUGUGCUAGCAGCAAUGCUAGUGGCAUUCACAGGUGUUGCAUGGUUGUCGUCAGCUCGUGUCGUGAGAUGUUGGGUUAAGUCCCGCAACGAGCGCAACCCCUAUCUUUAUUUGCUACCGCGUAAUGGCGAGAACUAUAAAGAAACUGCCAGCCAUAAGCUGGGGGAAGGUGGGGAUGACGUCAAAUCAUCAUGGCCUUUAUAAGGUGGGCUGCAAAUGUGCUACAAUGGUAACUACAACGAGAUGCAAUAUCGCGAGAUGGAGCAAAUCUUAAAAAGUUAUCUCAGUUCGGAUCGUUCUCUGCAAUUCGAAAAUGUGAAGUCGGAAUCGCUAGUAAUCGCGGAUCAGAAUGCCGCGGUGAAUACGUUCUCGGGUCU
rnacentral:rRNA from 1 species